rnacentral:rRNA from 1 species
AAUGAACGUUGGCGGCGUGGAUUAGGCAUGCAAGUCGCGCGAUUUCCUUCGGGGAAGAGCGGCGGAAGGGAGAGUAACGCGUAGAUACCUACCCUCGGGACUGGAAUAGCGACGGGAAACUGUCGGUAAUGCCAGAUAACGUCCCUGGACCAAAGGUGUGAAUCCGCCUGAGGAGGGGUCUGCGUCCUAUUAGCUAGUUGGCGGGGUAACGGCCCACCAAGGCGAAGAUGGGUACCGGGCGUGAGAGCGUGACCCGGCUCACUGGGACUGAGACACUGCCCAGACACCUACGGGUGGCUGCAGUCGAGAAUCUUCGGCAAUGAGCGCAAGCUUGACCGAGCGACGUCGCGUGCGGGAUGAAGGCUUUCGGGUUGUAAACCGCUGUCAGUGGGGAGGAAAUUCUUGGGGGUACUCCCCCUUGAUUGACCGAUCCGCAGAGGAAGGACGGGCUAAGUUCGUGCCAGCAGCCGCCGUAAGAC